rnacentral:rRNA from 1 species
GAUGAACGCUGGCGGCGUGCCUAAUACAUGCAAGUCGAGCGAACGGACGAGAAGCUUGCUUCUCUGAUGUUAGCGGCGGACGGGUGAGUAACACGUGGAUAACCUACCUAUAAGACUGGGAUAACUUCGGGAAACCGGAGCUAAUACCGGAUAAUAUUUUGAACCGCAUGGUUCAAAAGUAAAAGACGGUCUUGCUGUCACUUAUAGAUGGAUCCGCGCUGCAUUAGCUAGUUGGUAAGGUAACGGCUUACCAAGGCAACGAUGCAUAGCCGACCUGAGAGGGGGAUGGGCCAAACUGGAACUGAAACCCGGACCAGACCCCCACGGGAGGCAGCAGUGGGGAAUCUUCCGCAAUGGGGGAAAGCCGAACGGAGCAACGCCGGGGGGGGGAUGAAGGGCUUGGGAUCGUAAAACUUUUUUAUUGGGGAAAAAAAAAUGUGUAAGUAACUGUGCACAUCUUGACGGUACCAAAACAGAAAGCCCCGGCUAACUACGU